AUCUAGUUGACGAGUCCCAAAUAGGAUGAAACGUGCAUCGUGGAU
rfam:Schistosoma margrebowiei strain Zambia genome assembly, scaffold: SMRZ_contig0000041